GAGUGGCGAACGGGUGAGUAACACGUGGGUAACCUGCCCAGAAGUAGGGGAUAACACCUGGAAACAGAUGCUAAUACCGUAUAACAGAGAAAACCGCAUGGUUUUCUUUUAAAAGAUGGCUCUGCUAUCACUUCUGGAUGGACCCGCGGCGUAUUAGCUAGUUGGUGAGGUAAAGGCUCACCAAGGCAGUGAUACGUAGCCGACCUGAGAGGGUAAUCGGCCACAUUGGGACUGAGACACGGCCCAGACUCCUACGGGAGGCAGCAGUAGGGAAUCUUCCACAAUGGACGCAAGUCUGAUGGAGCAACGCCGCGUGAGUGAAGAAGGGUUUCGGCUCGUAAAGCUCUGUUGUUAAAGAAGAACGUGGGUAAGAGUAACUGUUUACCCAGUGACGGUAUUUAACCAGAAAGCCACGGCUAACUACGUGCCAGCAGCCGCGGUAAUACGUAGGUGGCAAGCGUUAUCCGGAUUCAUUGGGCGUAAAGCGAGCGCAGGCGGUCUUUUAAGUCUAAUGUGAAAGCCUUCGGCUCAACCGAAGAAGUGCAUUGGAAACUGGGAGACUUGAGUGCAGAAGAGGACAGUGGAACUCCAUGUGUAGCGGUGAAAUGCGUAGAUAUAUGGAAGAACACCAGUGGCGAAGGCGGCUGUCUGGUCUGCAACUGACGCUGAGGCUCGAAAGCAUGGGUAGCGAACAGGAUUAGAUACCCUGGUAGUCCAUGCCGUAAACGAUGAUUACUAAGUGUUGGAGGGUUUCCGCCCUUCAGUGCUGCAGCUAACGCAUUAAGUAAUCCGCCUGGGGAGUACGACCGCAAGGUUGAAACUCAAAAGAAUUGACGGGGGCCCGCACAAGCGGUGGAGCAUGUGGUUUAAUUCGAAGCUACGCGAAGAACCUUACCAGGUCUUGACAUCUUCUGACAGUCUAAGAGAUUAGAGGUUCCCUUCGGGGACAGAAUGACAGGUGGUGCAUGGUUGUCGUCAGCUCGUGUCGUGAGAUGUUGGGUUAAGUCCCGCAACGAGCGCAACCCUUAUUACUAGUUGCCAGCAUUAAGUUGGGCACUCUAGUGAGACUGCCGGUGACAAACCGGAGGAAGGUGGGGACGACGUCAAAUCAUCAUGCCCCUUAUGACCUGGGCUACACACGUGCUACAAUGGAUGGUACAACGAGUCGCGAAACCGCGAGGUUAAGCUAAUCUCUUAAAACCAUUCUCAGUUCGGACUGUAGGCUGCAACUCGCCUACACGAAGUCGGAAUCGCUAGUAAUCGCGGAUCAGCAUGCCGCGGUGAAUACGUUCCCGGGCCUUGUACACACCGCCCGUCACACCAUGAGAGUUUGUAACACCCAAAGCCGGUGGGGUAACCUCUAGGAGCUAGCC
rnacentral:rRNA from 1 species